UACCUUUUAAUUUGACCUUGAUUGGGAA
rnacentral:piRNA from 1 species